rnacentral:rRNA from 1 species
CAUUGCAGUUUCCCAUUGAAGCUAAGCAGGGUUGAGCCUGGGCACUACCUGGAUGGGAGACCUCAUGGGGAAAAUUAAGGUUGCUGCUGGAA